rnacentral:rRNA from 1 species
GAUGAACGCUGGCGGCGUGCCUAAUACAUGCAAGUCGAGCGAACAGACGAGGAGCUUGCUCCUCUGACGUUAGCGGCGGACGGGUGAGUAACACGUGGAUAACCUACCUAUAAGUCUGGGAUAACUUCGGGAAACCGGAGCUAAUACCGGAUAAUAUAUUGAACCGCAUGGUUCAAUAGUGAAAGACGGUUUUGCUGUCACUUAUAGAUGGAUCCGCGCCGCAUUAGCUAGUUGGUAAGGUAACGGCUUACCAAGGCAACGAUGCGUAGCCGACCUGAGAGGGUGAUCGGCCACACUGGAACUGAGACACGGUCCAGACUCCUACGGGAGGCAGCAGUAGGGAAUCUUCCGCAAAGGGCGAAAGCUUGACGGAGCAACGCCGCGUGAGUGAUGAAGGUCUUCGGAUCGUAAAACUCUGUUAUUAGGGAAGAACAAAUGUGUAAGUAACUAUGCACGUCUUGACGGUACCUAAUCAGAAAGCCACGGCUAACUACGUG